GAUGAAGAACGUAGCGAAAUGCGAUACGUAAUGUGAAUUGCAGAAUUCAGUGAAUCAUCGAAUCUUUGAACGCAUAUUGCGCUCUCUGGUAUUCCGGAGAGCAUGCUUGUUUGAGUAUCAGUAAACACCUCAACUCCCUUUUCUUUUUUGAAAUUGGAGCUGGACUUGAGUGAUCCCGACGCUUUCUUCCAAGAAAGUGGCGGGUUGCUUGAAAUGCAGGUGCAGCUGAACUUUUCUCUGAGCUAUAAGCAUAUCUAUUUAGUCUGCCUAAAAAACAGAUUAUUACCUUUGCUGCAGCUAACAUAAAGGAGACUAGUUCUUGUGCUGACUGAUGCAGGAUUCACAGAGACAGCUUCGGCUGACUUUGUAAACUCGAUCUCAAAUCAAGUAAGACUACCCGCUGAACUUAAGCAUAUCAAUAAGCGGAGGA
rnacentral:misc_RNA from 1 species